rnacentral:rRNA from 1 species
GACGAACGCUGGCGGCGUGCCUAAUACAUGCAAGUUGAGCGCUGAAGGUUGGUACUUGUACCAACUGGAUGAGCAGCGAACGGGUGAGUAACGCGUGGGGAAUCUGCCUUUGAGCGGGGGACAACAUUUGGAAACGAAUGCUAAUACCGCAUAAAAACUUUAAACACAAGUUUUAAGUUUGAAAGAUGCAAUUGCAUCACUCAAAGAUGAUCCCGCGUUGUAUUAGCUAGUUGGUGAGGUAAAGGCUCACCAAGGCGAUGAUACAUAGCCGACCUGAGAGGGUGAGCGGCCACAUUGGGACUGAGACACGGCCCAAACUCCUACGGGAGGCAGCAGUAGGGAAUCUUCGGCAAUGGACGAAAGUCUGACCGAGCAACGCCGCGUGAGUGAAGAAGGUUUUCGGAUCGUAAAACUCUGUUGGUAGAGAAGGACGUUGGUGAGAGUGGAAAGCUCAUCAAGUGACGGUAACUACCCAGAAAGGGACGGCUAACUACGUG